UACGUAGGGGGCUAGCGUUGUCCGGAUUUAUUGGGCGUAAAGGGCUCGUAGGCGGCCAACUAAGUCAGACGUGAAAUCCCUCGGCUUAACCGGGGAACUGCGUCUGAUACUGGAUGGCUUGAGUUUGGGAGAGGGAUGCGGAAUUCCAGGUGUAGCGGUGAAAUGCGUAGAUAUCUGGAGGAACACCGGUGGCGAAGGCGGCAUCCUGGACCAACACUGACGCUGAGUGAGCGAAAGCCAGGGGAGCAAACGGG
rnacentral:rRNA from 1 species